rnacentral:misc_RNA from 1 species
UGACACUAACUUAAUAACAUUUAAAUAAAUCCAAAUAAUUAAUUACAGAAAUGUUACUAAAACGUUUAUUUAGAAGUACUUUAACAUUCAAUAAAUACAAGAAGUUAUGUUCAAAUUUUAAACACAAAUAUAGCCAAAAACCGCAACAAGCAUUGAUUUAAGCGAAAUUCCAUUAGAACGGAUUCGAAAUUUUAGUAUAAUUGCGCAUAUUGAUCAUGAGAAAACCACAUUAUCUGAUAAAGUUUUAGAAUUUAUGUUGGCUAUUUCACAUAAAUCGGGAGAAAGUCAA